rnacentral:pre_miRNA from 1 species
AUGUGUGUUCAGAUCUCUAAUGAUCUUUUUGAAAUUCAGAUUCUCAUUCAGUGGGACUAUGUAUGGCAUGAGAUUCUACAUUUUUAAUGAGUUCCUAAAUGACGCUGAU